AACCUGUGUAAGCAGAACACGGAAUUGAUGAAUGAAAAUGCUCUGCUUCGAGAAAGGCUGGCUGAUUCAGAACAUUAGAACCAGGAGAAGCAGGAGAACCAGGAACCACAAUCAGAUUUACGCCUAUGGCCCUCGGCGUAAUGACGGAUUUGCAGGGUACAUUCUUUACAAGACUGCACCGAUGUAGCGUCACGUAUAACAGCGUCACUUCGAUCAAGACCACAGGAAGGAGGAGGUAUGGGUCGGUUUCUAAGCUAGCUAUUUCCAACUUUUAUGCCGCAGUCUUUGAGCCCCAACCAGGUGUGUUACGUUUACAGACAAAUUAGCUUGAUAUAAACAAGCAGAAGCCAUAAAUAAACUG